UCCUGCGGCCUCCCGCCGACGCCGGAGCCUGGGACACAGGGUGACAAGUGUCCUUUCGGAGGGGGCAGACCUGCCGUGCGCUGGAAUCCGGGGCCUCCAGAGCCUGCCCAUCACCCACUCGGCCCAGCUGCCGAACAAAACCCGGUGGGGGCGAACGAAGCCAUCCCUUUCGCGCCAGACUUCCCAAACUGCUCCAGGGCGACUCGGUACAACGUCUUUUUUUUUCCCCCCUUUGGAAUUCCACUAGUUCCAAGGGUUGCUUGUUAACCCUAUCUCGGGACAGAUUUCUAACGACGAAACAUGUUUUUACAAUUCAGGACUAAAGCAAGAACAAGUAUAAAGUCUUUAGGUGACGUUUUCUUCUUGGCGCAUCCGUGAGGGACACCGGGCCAGAUGCCAGGAAUCUGCUCCGCUGUGUUCCUGCGGGAGUUUCUAACUUGACUAACUCGAUGAAACCGGGGUUUCUGUUACUGGGUAGCCCCCACCCCGCCCUGUGAACUUGGCAAACACACCCGAUGGAAGCCUCACUCCGCCCACGUGAGUCCUGGGGCAGGCGGGCCACACCAGGAGCUGCUGUCAUUUCUUGGUUCCAGCUCAUCGACUCAGCCUUUGGAGAAGACAUCUUGGUUUUAUUCCACCUCGGAGAAGUGAACUGUAGGCCUUCUUUUCUCUUCCUGAAUCUCUCACCAUCUUGCCGUGAGAAGGUAUCUGAUCUGAAUGUCAGCAUGGGAAGCACAGCCCUAAGUCAGAAAACAUUCAGGUACCCAGGCGGGCUGCCUGUUGCCCAUAGAUGGACUGUUCACACAGCUAUUAACGGCAGCAUUCCUGGGCCCAGGAGCUGGGCCAAUAAGCUUACUUGCUCAGGCUUUGUGACAAGAAAGUCUGAGUAGCCAGGAAGUGGGAUGUUUGCAGGGAAAAGUACUACAGUUCCUCUAGGUCAAAACCCAUCCACCUGGUAUAAAUCAAAUCUUUACAUCAAUAAUGUUUCUGUAGUUAACAACGGAGUCUACUUUUGUGUAUCCCCAACAACAGGAAUUAACUGUUUCAGGUUUACUUUGAAAAACAGAUGUUGCUACCUAUUAAAAUGGAAAGAUGUUCAUGUUAUAAUGUCAAGCAAACAAUCUGAUUACCUGUGUGACCCCCAUUUGUUAUAAUGUGUUUAUAUGCCUACCAAGAAAGUGUGAAGGUAACAUUUUUCUCUAGGUGGCUAGGUUUAGGUUUGUUUUGUUGUUUUUUGCUUGCCUGCAUUUUCUGUUUUCCUAUAUUAAACAUAUAUAACCUGGGUAUUCAAGGAUUGAAAGUUCAAAAUAAAAAGUUCAGUUCUUGAGGGAAAAAAGUAUAUUAUUAAUAUCCUAGACCUAACAGGAGAGCACUUGAAGCCAUGUGUAUAAAUCUAAGGCAAUGAAGGAAUGUAGUUAGAAAAGAAAGGAACAGAUUUAGACUGAUCAGCUGUGUUUGGAAUUUUGAAUAACCUGCUAACCCAAGCAUGCUACUUGGUUCCUUUUUUUUGCUCAUUAAUCUCAUGAGUUCAAAAUGGGAAUGUGAAAAAUUCAUUCACUGCAGUAUGAUAGUGUGAUGGAUACAGUCAGCAAACUGUAUUAAUAUGGGGGUUUAAAAUUCUCAAAUAUCAUCCAACACCCUACUGUGAUGCAAACACCACUUUCUGGUGAGGAAGGUGUUAACUGUAACCAACAAGCAAUAGUUUGUGGGAAAAUGUAUUUAAAGACUAAACUUCAGUCAUGAAUGUUUUAAAAGUGUACCUCUUCUAAAAUAAUGAAACUGGUCUAAGUAACUUUAUGAUAAUGUAAUUCAAUGUGAUUUAACAAAUAAUGGUACAUAAUUCAUUAAAUACCAAAUAAAAUAAAAACAAAUUUCAUUUAAAAAAUGAAAACCA